UAAACUAGGAUUAGAUACCCUAUUAUUAAGAGCAAAAAAUUGUAAGUAAAUAAUAAUUACGAAAGCAAAAAAUUAUGGCGGUAUCUUAAGCUUUUCAGAGGAAUUUGCUCUGUAAUGGAUAAAACACCUAAAUCUUACUUAAAUUAGUUAGAAUUCAGUUUGUAUACCACUAUUAAAAUAAUAAUUUACUAUUAUUAUUAAUAUUCUUUAUUAAGAAAAAAGUUAAGUCAAGGUGCAGCAAAAAUUUAAGAAUGAAGUGAAUUACAUUUCUUAAAAGAAAAAAAAAUUGAAAAUAAAAUUUAGGAUUUGAUAGUAAAAUUAAAAUAAAAAGUUAAUUGAACUAAG
rnacentral:rRNA from 1 species